UGGGGAAUCUUGGACAAUGGGCGCAAGCCUGAUCCAGCCAUGCCGCGUGAGUGAUGAAGGCCUUAGGGUUGUAAAGCUCUUUUUGCCGGGGACGAUAAUGACGGUACCCGGAGAAUAAGUCCCGGCUAACUUCGUGCCAGCAGCCGCGGUAAUACGAAGGGGACUAGCGUUGUUCGGAAUCACUGGGCGUAAAGCGCACGUAGGCGGAUUUGUAAGUCAGGGGUGAAAUCCCGGGGCUCAACCUCGGAACUGCCUUUGAUACUGCGGAUCUCGAGUCCGAUAGAGGUGAGUGGAAUUCCUAGUGUAGCGGUGAAAUGCGUAGAUAUCUGGAGGAACACCGGUGGCGAAGGCGGCAUCCUGGACCGGUAUUGACGCUGAGUGAGCGAAAGCCAGGGGAGCAAACGGGAUUAGAUACCCUCGUAGUCCCUGAGCGGGCUGGCAAGGCGCAU
rnacentral:rRNA from 1 species